AACGAACGCUGGCGGCAUGCCUAACACAUGCAAGUCGAACGAGACCUCCGGGUCCAGUGGCGCACGGCUGCGUCACGCGUCGGAACCUGCCCUUAGGUUCGAAAUAACUCCCCGAAAGGGGUGCUAAUACCAGAUAAUGUCUUCGGCCCAAAGAUUUAUCGCCUUUGGAUGUGCCCGCGUUGGAUUAGCCAGUUGGUAGGGUAAAAGCCUACCAAGGCGACGAUCCAUAGCUGGUCGGAGAGGAUGAUCAGCCACACUGGGACUGAGACACGGCCCAGACUCCUACGGGAGGCAGCAGUGGGGAAUAUUGGACAAUGGGCGAAAGCCUGAUCCAGCAAUGCCGCGUGAGUGAUGAAGGCCUUAGGGUUGUAAAGCUCUUUUACCCGGGAUGAUAAUGACAGUACCGGGAGAAUAAGCUCCGGCUAACUCCGUG
rnacentral:rRNA from 1 species